rnacentral:lncRNA from 1 species
CCCGGAUAAAGAUCAAGAAAUAGCCCUUAAUCUUAGCCUUAUUUGGUAGGAACUGGAAAAUUUCUCUCAUAGGCAUCUACUCUAAAGCAAUCUGCUUUCUUCAAAACCCUGGAGUGCCCACAGCAGUAUUCUGAUCACCAGCCAUCACUUCUGUUCUCAGGAUUCCAGCGGCAACUCAAGAGGUGAUCAAACAGUGAGCUUGGUGAAUAAGCUGAGGAUCAGAAGACAUACAACCAAUAUGGCGGCACUAACAUCACAGCCUGGUCUUCCUGGCUCCAGAACCUACCCUCUUUUCACCAUGGCUACCUGUCUUUCCUAGAUUAUCUCAAACCUAUGCCCCACUCACCAACAAAUACAUACAUUUUAUUUGUUGCUGUGUGUGGAGCAAAACCUUGCAAUUUUUUUCAAAUGACUUGACUUGGACAUCUUAGCCAAUUUUGGUAGUAUCUCCCUUGUUUUCUAUUGUAUUCUUCCAAUUUAAUGCAUCUUAGAGAAAAUAAGACACACUAACAUUCUAGCAUCUGGUGGUGAGAUGCAAUGUGUGAUAUAUGAACACAAAUAAAAGAAAUAGUAAAGUAUUUGUUCAUAAUUUGAAAAAAAUGAUAUUAAUACAGGUUUACAAUAAAUAACUAUCUUCAGAAUUUAAAAUCAGAACAUUUUCAUGUUUUUGCAGCAGAUCCAAAAUUUGGUUAUAAAUUCUUUAAAUAAAAAUAAGUUUUGUCUUUAAUGCAUGUAUAUUUAAGAUAUACAUCUUGGUGUUUUAAAUCCAUCUUUUAAACAAGAAUAAAAUCAGAAUUGCCUUAAGAAAGAAAUAUCUACUUUUGAGGUUAGAGUAGUAUUUUUAUAUGGCAAAAGUAGAUCAUGAUUCUGAUAGGUUCAGUGGUCUUAUAAGUAAAAUAAAAUGUGACUGUGUGAUUUUAGUUGAAUAAUUCUAUGGCUGCUUUUAAAGUUUGGUGUGGGAGUCCAUAAACACAGAACAUAAUGGUCCACUUGGAGUUUUGCUACAGAGGACAAUUGUAUUAUAUGGCAGUUCAGAGAAGCCCUGCUUUGGACUGAUGGAAAAACUCUCAGUGUUGUCAAUAAAGUUGCUAUAAAAUGUAAUGUGUGUGAGUUAUGGUCUUAUUUUAUAUCCAAAG